rnacentral:rRNA from 1 species
UACGGAGGGUGCAAGCGUCAAUCGGAAUUACUGGGCGUAAAGCGUGCGUAGGCGGUUCGUUAAGUCUGUUGUGAAAGCCCCGGGCUCAACCUGGGAAUGGCAAUGGAUACUGGCGAGCUAGAGUGUGUCAGAGGAUGGUGGAAUUCCCGGUGUAGCGGUGAAAUGCGUAGAGAUCGGGAGGAACAUCAGUGGCGAAGGCGGCCAUCUGGGACAACACUGACGCUCAUGCACGAAAGCGUGGGGAGCAAACAGG